rnacentral:pre_miRNA from 1 species
GCUCUGAGUGACAGGUAUUGUAAACAUCCUACACUCUCAGCUGUGGAAAAUGAGGAAGCUGGGAGAAGGCUGUUUACUCUCCCUGACUUAGAUAGC